AAUAAGCGUUUUCCCAAAAAGUCACACAUAUACCGACACAUGAUUCGGGGUGCCCUCGGGUUGGAUCAUGGGGUAUAUGGAGGCCUAACC
rnacentral:sRNA from 1 species